rnacentral:lncRNA from 1 species
UGAAUCUCAGCAGAGACUCAGCCCCUGUAGGAGGAGGCUGAGAGGUCUCCUUCAAGGAUGACACAUGCCCACAGGGCCAGCCAGCCAUUCGGAAGCCUCCACUCUUCAGAGACAUGUGUGUCUGUGCGUGGCAAUGUGAAACGUGACUAGGGCUUAGUUAACUCUCUGAAGAGCUGGAUUCUUGAUUCACGAUAACAAUAGUGACGGUAAAUAUUUGUUGAGUACUCACGAGGUGCCGAGCACCAAGUUGCUACUCAUUCAUUGUUCGCAUCCAACACCGAGGAGACAGAGGUGCUGAAAUCUGUCACAGGGGGCAAGAAGCAGGUCUGAAAUUCAAAGGAGCUGGAAUCCUCCUUCUCCCAGGAGAUUAGAUCCUUCUCAUUCUCCCCAAAGAAUGACAGGGCUGAACCAGGUGCUACGAAACUCUACUAUGUUAAAAGAGUAACCAAAGCUGUCACUCAUUAAACGUGCCCAAUGGUGGCAUCUUGAGGCCAAUGCUUCCCUCUAAACCACCAAACUGUCAUAGACCCUCAGAACCAGAGUGCCAGGUUAGGUCACAAGAAGUCAUCUUGUUCUAGACCACCCACUGGCUGUCCAUCAGAAGUCCCCCUCUCCAGAUGGCUGUCUCCUGAGGUCCUCAGCAGCUGAGUUUGGCCCACUUUGAACUAUGAUGCUACCUACACGUCACACGUGAACAUAGGCAUUACACGGAACCAUGGGCACCGUUCUUCUCUGGAAGGUGGGCCAAGGGAAAAAAGCCUAUGUCAGCUGAUUCAUCAUACUUACUAAUUGUUCCUGCGUUCUUUGGAGAUUUAGAAAGCACAGCUCUGCCAAAUCUACUGAAAAUGCUUUAUUCAAACAUGAAAAAUAGUCUUCAUUUUGCCUAUCGUUUUUCCUAUUCUGCCUGUCACAUUCUUCUGCUCCCUCAAAUCAGCUGAGGUUCUAAGCACCAAGGAGAUGAACACUAUUUGUGGAUGGGAGCCAUUUCUCCAAGGAAAUGAUUCUGCUGUCUGCCUUUGCCAUACAUAACACACACAAU